rnacentral:rRNA from 1 species
UACGUAGGGUGCGAGCGUUAAUCGGAAUUACUGGGCGUAAAGCGUGCGCAGGCGGUUUCGUAAGACAGAGGUGAAAUCCCCGGGCUCAACCUGGGAAUGGCCUUUGUGACUGCGAGGCUAGAGUGUGACAGAGGGGGGUAGAAUUCCACGUGUAGCAGUGAAAUGCGUAGAGAUGUGGAGGAAUACCGAUGGCGAAGGCAGCCCCCUGGGUUACUACUGACGCUCAUGCACGAAAGCGUGGGGAG